CACGUAGGAGGCAAACGUUAUCCGGAUUUACUGGGCGUAAAGCGCGUGUAGGUGGUUCUGUAAGUAGGGCGUGAAAGCUCCCGGCUCAACUGGGAGAGGCCGUUCUAAACUGCAGAGCUAGAGGAUGGUAGAGGGAGGUGGAAUUCCAGGUGUAGCGGUGGAAUGCGCAGAUAUCUGGAGGAACACCAGUGGCGAAGGCGGCCUCCUGGACCAUUCCUGACACUCAGACGCGAAAGCUAGGGUAGCAAACGGGAUUAGAUAUCCGCGUA
rnacentral:rRNA from 1 species